AUUCUGGGAAAGGUAGGAGAAAGUGCAGAGUCACCAUGUGAGCCUGGAAAGACAGGACGCUUGUUGAUGACAUUCAAUAAGCAGUGGGACCUGGCAAAACAAGGGAAAAUCCAGCAAUACUCCUGCCUCCAGAAUCUUGCCCUAUUUGAGUUCCUGUCCUGACUUCCUUCAGUGAUGAACAGCAACAUAAAAGUUAGUUUCCCAUCAAAUUUGCUGAAGCUGGACUCUCUACCUAUGUGGACCAUGUGUUCUGACAGGGGGACCAGCUUUACUGUGCAGGACUCAGUAUGACACACGAUCCUCAGUAUACACGACACAGAAGGCAUCAUCUGUAAAAAUCAUUUGAAAAUUUGGGUUACCAAUGGCAAGGCAUUAAACUAUGUGCUGAUCUCUUCUAAGUGCAGGGAUGGCAGAUGGUACCCAUGCGAUGGCUGGCACUGAGCAGUUCUGGAGGUGGGCAGAAUCUGCAAGGCUGCUGUGACAGUGACUCUGGUCAGUUAAGGCGUUCAUACGUGCUUCAAUGGCAUGGCUGUGAUGCACAGCACAAGUUCAGAUGGGAGGAAAGAAGACAUAGCCAGCUGAGAUGAUGUCGCACCCAUGAAGCAGCCAGCUGACUCCCUUGCAGGUGCUCAGAAAUGUCUAUGGAGUAUUAGAGAAAGUAUACGUGCUGUAGGACUUCUGUAGAGGAGAAAGGGAAACUGAGUCUGUUGAAGUUUUCCCAGAGAUUUCAACUUAACAGAGAUAACAAUUGCUUGUUUUAGUGCUUUCCUGCAUUGAAAAGCAGAUACCCACUCUGCACGCUUUGAAAAAUUCCAUCAGGUUUUCGAACAGGAGCUGUUUAAUGGAGAUUACAGAUUUGCACAUAACUCUAAACCCAGCUUUUGAUGGAGAGAAAGGGACUGUACAUGAAAGGCUGGUGAAGAACUGGCUUCAUUGCUUCAUCAGCUGACCUCACUGAGCAAGAGUCUGCUCCAAGCCAACAAUAAGCAUGCAGAUCAUUUAUCUCAGCAAUGCUGUAAGGGGAAUGAAAGAGAGAACAACAAAGCCUUUGACAUCCUACAGGAGCUGCUCAUCAUGUUCUGGUGUGGAACACCAGGGCAGAUGCCUAUGUCCAUCACGUAUCUAAAGUUCAUCAAAACACAGCAGAAUUGCUGUCUUUAUUAAGAGAUAAUUUUUAAAGGCUAACAAGCAACUGAUGCUUUAUUUUUGAAAUGUUAAGGAAGCUGACACACUCUUGGUUAAAGAUAACUGACUUGAAAAUAGGACUUUUGAACUCAUGAUCUUUGGGAAAUGUGUGUUGGGACUCAAGAAGAAGAAGCUGCUUGCUUGCAAAUAACCACCACUAAUGGCUGAUCUGGCUGUGAUACCAACAUCAAGUGCUGACUGUGGGAGCCAGGGCAGAGGACUUUUGUGCUGAGUGACACUGAGUGGAGAACUCAUGGUAAUGUGAGUGCCGGGUGCUUCUAGCUGCCCACAGACCUCAUUAGGAACAAGUACAAACAGAAAAGUUCUCCAGUUUAUGAUUCCCUAAACAGGAAGAAGCCAGCAUGACCAACAGCACUGUGCAGUUUAUUAUCAGCCAAGUACAGCAGCAUCUGCUAAGAGAGGCACAAUUGGGACUGAAAAAUGAACAGAUACGUAUCAUCCAGCAGUAUGAAAGAGGCCACUUCACUUUUCACAAAUGUUCUCACUGAGUUGAUGCUGUGCUUGUCAUUAGCCCAGCACACCAAGGAAGAGAGAGAGAGAGAGAGAGAGAGAGAGAGAGAGAGAGAGAGUACAAACCUUUUUUCAAAAAGAGCAAAACACUUUCAUUUUUUUCCCUUUGGUCCUAAGACAAUACCUUACAGUCUGGAUGUACCUACCUAUACUCAUACCAGCUUCUAGAAUAUUUCUCAGGAAAGGAAAACUAAAAUGACAUUAGCCAGCCUGCUCCCUGGGUAUUUAGGAAGGAAGUUCUCAGACCAAAUUAGCUUCUUAUUCUCAGCAAGGUCUUGAGACCUUUGCUGCUCUGCCAGGUCUUCAUUGCCCUAUACUUCUCCCACAGCACAGACCCCCCCACCCCCAUUUAUCCCUAGAGUUCUCCUUGUUGUCUUCAAUGCCUGAUCCUGUUUCUCUUCAGCCAUUUUACUGAAGGUGUCCUCUGUGGCUGAAACAAACUUCCCUUUGUGCCCUGUGUCUUAACUCCCUUAUUUUCUGGGACUCCUACAGUUUCUAAUUUCUUCCCAGUCUCCCUGCUAAGCUGCUUCUUUGGAAGGGAAAGGAAGCAGUCAGGAAUGGAUUCUUUUGACAUUGGCCUUGAGAAUUAGUGUGCCUAUUCAGUUCUUUCUGGAAAUACUAUGACAUGCCAUGGUGUAUAGAAGACUAAAGAUGGACAGUUGACACUGCACACUCUAUUGUGUGGGGAAGCUUGGUCAGUCUAGCCGCCUACUUACUCUCACCAACAACUAUUUUUAUAGAGCAUAAUGUAUCUACCCAUAGUUGUUAACCAAAGAGUUAGUGAAUAAAACUUAAACAUUAAAAUUUUAGAGUUAAUCAUGGUAUCCGGUAUUAAUUUUCAAAUCUGAUGAAAGAGUUUUAGAUUUUUCUCGUACUUAAUGUUGGAAACAUAGCAGUCGAAACUAACAUUCACACUGAAAUUUUAACUUGGUUCCUAUGUAAUGCCUAAACUUUUUAAAAAGAAUAAAUAUAUAUACCUAAUGUCAAACACAAUGGAGUCAGAACUAGAUUGACAACAGGUAGUUUAUUAAAGGGAUAGUACUCACGCAAGGGCCAGUGACCAGCUUUACAGUGGAGCCGGAGUGACCUGCAGAUGUCUGCUCAGCCAGGCUGGAGGGAGAAAAUGAGAGCCGCAUGCAUGCCUCUAUGAUACUUAAACCCUUGCUUCAUCACUAUGAACACACCCAAGCAGGUGUGGUCAGUGGUACCGAGCCAGCCCCAAGCAGUUGUGGUCAGCAAUACCUCUAAACAGGAUUUCUCCCUACAUAUACCCACUCUCUAAAUGUAUUUAUCCUAAUGUCUAUUUAGUAGCUAUUUUUGAAGUGUGACAAAAAUUGGUAUUGGUUGAAAUUUCAAGGGGAAAUUACCUAUGGUAGAGAACUCCUCUUAAUAAUUCAAUAUGGAGUUUGUAUCUUAUUGUGGAGAUAGGUGGUCUAGAAUGGAUGAACGUCGCUCUGGAGGACAGUGUACCUGUGCUAGAGGCUGUGUAAGCCGUGCUUAGAAGACCCAGGGAACAGCAAAUGUGACCCAGGGGCCUGAUAAAACAAAACCAGCCUGAGACUCAGGGCUUUCAGGAAGCUGGGACCCAAGCAGGGUACAAGGGGUGAGAGGAAAAGUUCUGCUCUGUGCGUGUGCAUCCUGCAUAUAGCAAGGGUCAUGGCGGGCCUUCCGUGCGACACUGAGAAUGCAGAACUUUUCCAACACUUGGAUGGCUCAGUGAAAUGGCUAAACUGUCCCAUAGGAAGGUUUCUUUCCACUUGGCAGGAGUGGUGAUGAUUACAGCACAGACUCUUACCAACACCUAUUAUGUGCCAGAUGGUGUUAUUUUGCAUAACUAUUAAGACAAUAUUUGUUGUUUUACAGUCCAGAUCACAGACUCUGAAUUAGCUUCCUUUUCUGGGGUGGGGUGUAAAUAAAUCAGAGUAUUCAAGCUUGGAUAUAGACUCUGAUGUCGCUGACUGUAAUUUCAUCUUUCUAACCCCUGUGCUCUUACCGUCCAUAAAUCCAAAGGCAUCUAAAAUUAAAGAGUGAAACAAGUGACUUUAUGUCAUUUUUAAAUACACUUGAUUAAUUACAUGCAGUAAUUCAAGAAUGCAAGAAGAAAUUCAAAAUUUAUUGAAAAGUAGGUUGUCUCUGUGAUGAGGUAGCAUCAACACACAGGAGGAAGCAAAAUCUGGCAGAAGAAGAGUGGGAGGUGUGUGUGGGGCAGAGUGCUUUCAUUUUCUAGUUGCUGUGCAGAAAUAAUAACUGUCUUCUGUAAUUACAUAGAUCAUAAGAGAUGAUGCAUAUAGAAACCUAUGCCAUAGUACUCAGAUAGGCUAAUUGUUACCUGUGAGCAUGAAUGUUAAUCUGGAAACAAUGGAUGCCUUUAGAAAGUGUCCUGGCAGAGUUGGGGAAUCACUGCAAUUGGUGAUAACUAUUUUUAAUCUUUCAAGUCCAAUGACAAUACAUAUGCAUUAUUUUUUACCCAGUGGUACACAGAUUAUAGGGACCGAAGCAUUAUACUUUUUGUUUUAGUGUGUCUGUGGAAAUUAAGGUAUUUAUUCAUCAUUUUUGAAUCAUGGGGAAAGCCUCAUGAGAGGUUAUCCAUAAGAGUGAAAAAUGAUGUACCAGAGAUUAUUCAGUAUCAAGUAAUUACUAUUUUAAAACUAGUAGAACCACUUGGAAGAGUGAUGAGUACCUUAAAAAGUUGACAUAUGUAAUGGAAGUCAUGGAAAGAACUUGCGAAUGUGUUCUUAGUCCCUGCAGUCCAUGCACAGUUCCUGUUUGUAUACAGAUCUUUAAUCUUAUUGCAAAGGGUAUUGGUUAAAAAGUCCAGUCUAUAAACCAGGUCUAGAUAAAGGUGGUUUUAGACACGUAACCCCUUUACAUUGUUCUUUUGUAUAGGGACAUUUUGUUUCAUUGCUUUAACUAAAAUUGCUUAUAAUACUGGAGAUCAUAAUUAUUAUAUUUAUAAUGUUAAUGGACUUUCUCCCAAGCACAAUGCUGUAAUUCUUUUGUGAGGAACCAAAGGGACCCAUAUGUAAAGAAGUAGGUUAAGUGCUGUUUGGACAAUCUGUGAAUGAGGCCCAUGCCCUAUCUGAUCAGGAGGGCAUGCUGAAGUUGAAGUCCUCACCCAAGCUGCUGAUGCACAGUACACUCAGUUACUGUGAACCACAAAUGGUAUAUUUCAAUCAACUGAUGGUCCUUAGAACUGAAGAUUAAUACUUCAUUUGUAGGUCUUUCUUUCUUUCUUUCUUUCUUUCUUUCUUUCUUUCUUUCUUUCUUUCUUUCUUUCUUUCUUUCAAAGCUUUUUGAUAUCAACAUGGCAAACUCCAAGUCUGUUUUAUCUGCAAGUCUCAGAGUCUGUCUCUUUUAAAUUUUUACUCUUUUUAAAAUCAACAUUUCUACAUAGUUUUUGGAGUGGGUUAUGAUAGUUUGAGUCAUAUAAAUCAUGUUUAAUGAUCAGAUCAAGAUAAUUAGGAUUUCCAACUCCAACACUGAUCAUUUCUAUGUAUUGAAAUCUUUGACUGAGUUACAUUGUUGACAUCGUGAAUUGUUGAAACAGUAGUUACCCUAUGGUGCUGUAGAACAUCAUUGUUAAUUCAUUUGUUUAAAUGUGUUGGUAUCAGACAAUAACCUUUAUAUCUUUUCUUGUUCUUUUUCCUGAUCUCCACUAAUCACUAUUAGCCCUCUUCUUCUAAAACAAGUUUUUUAAGUUCCUCAAGAUAAGUGAGAAUGUGCAGCAUUUGUCUCUCUGUGCUUACUUUAUUUCCCUCGAAAUGAUACCUUCUGCUUCAUUCUAUGUUGCUCUAAAGAGAACUCUACUCCCUUCUUUUUAUGGUGGAAUAACAUUUCAUUAUGUUUACAUAUCAUCUUUUCCUUAUUCACUUAUCCAUUAAUGGGCACCUUGCUUAAUAAGAGAGAAAUUGCUAUACUGAUAGUAUAACAAUGGGUGUGGGAUCUCCUUUAUAGUUGAAUAUUAUAUUCAAAAUAUACUAGAUCAAAAUAUCUAGUACUAUUUCUAGAUCAUGAAGUAUUUCUAUUUUUAGUUUUUUUUUUUUGAAGACUCGCCAUACUCUUUUCUAUACUGGAUAUUUCAAUCAACAGUUGUCUGGAGUUCCCCUUCCUUCCCAUUCUCAAUAGCUUUUUUAUUUUUGUCUUUUUGGUAAUAGUUGUUAUAACCAUGUUUGAUUAUAUUUCACUGUGGUUUGAUUGUUUUUUUUCUGAUGAUUAGUUACCUUAAGCAUUUUUCAUAUACAUGUUGGUCAUUUGUAGUCUCUUUUUCCAAAAAUGUCUAUUUAGAUCAUGCGUCUAUUUUAAAAUAACAACCUUGAUGUUGACUUUUUAGAGUUCUUUGAAAUUUCUGGCUAUUAAUCCCUAGUCAGAUGACUAGUUCAUGAGUGUUGUUCUUGUGUCUUCACUCUGUUGAUUGCUUCCUUUGUUGUGUGGAGCUUCUUAGUUUGAUGUUGUACUGUUUAUCUACUUUUGCUUGUUCCCUGUGCUUUGGAGGCUCGGCUCUGCAUAUUUAUUGUCAUGAGGUAUUGGUGUGUUUUCUCUAGGGUGUAUGAGGGCUUCAGGGCUUAUGUACAGGAAACAAGUCUCUGAUCUGUGUAGAGUUGAUUGGAGUGACAAGAAAAGGGAGUUUUGGUUCUUAGCAGCAUUGUUUGCUGAGGAUGGUAUUCUCCAGAAUGUGUUCACAUGUCCCAGCCCACACAAAUGAAGCACCCUGCUCCCACUUCUCUCAAUCUGUUCCAAACACAAGUGCCAUUUUAAUUCAGACAUGUGGCAUAUUAUUGAUUUGUAGCUGAUCAGGUGCCUAUUCUCUCAUUUCCAGCUUGUGAAACAUUGAUGGACUAUUGCGUUUGCUUCUCUUAUGUUGCUAAAAACCAUGAUUUUCUAGGACAAAAAGCAGUUCCUAGAGUCAAGGCCUAUAGUUAUCUUUUUAAUUAAGAAGACAUUCAAUUUUAAAAGUAAAAUUGCUUUUGUAAUUUGGCAAAUAAAAACUAAGUACAUUUUGGUAAUCAUAUAUGUAUAUGUAUGCAGUGACUAAAUUGAGAUAAUUAAUAUACAUAUUACUUCUUAUGAAUUCCUUCCUUCUUUCUUUCCUUUAUUUUUUUUUUGUGGGGGGCACAGAACACUUUACUUAAAAUCUUAAACAACUUAAAAUUUGUUGCAAAGACCAGGUGGUGCUGAUUAACCAAGAUGUGGUGCAUCUGUGUCAAUGUGCUCCUCUAACCCAUAUCGAGUAGUCAGAACCUGGCCUCAAUAUUAUUCUCAAAAGAUGGAAGAGUCACAUACCUUGGUGCCCAGCAGCUGCUUCUUUGUCCUGCUGGAAUUGAGAGUCUCUACUGGAUCCUCUUGGACUUUAUACAAUGGAAUCCCUGUAUUACUAACACUAAGUUCUUCUUGGUUAAAUAGUAUUUUGUUUCAUGCCUGAAUAAUACCACUCUGACUUCCAUUGUGGUAUGUCUGAUGCUGUGAUGCUUUCAUGGAGUUAACUUGGCAGUUUAUAAAUAAAACUUUAUGUUUCAGAGUUCUGGGGGCUCAGAAAACCUGAA